UCCUCUGUAGUUCAGUCGGUAGAACGGCGGACUGUUAAUCCGUAUGUCACUGGUUCGAGUCCUACGAUUCCUCUGUAGUUCAGUCGGUAGAA
rnacentral:tRNA from 1 species